rnacentral:rRNA from 1 species
GACGAACGCUGGCGGCGUGCUUAACACAUGCAAGUCGAACGGAAAGGCCCUGCUUUUGUGGGGUGCUCGAGUGGCGAACGGGUGAGUAACACGUGAGUAACCUGCCCUUGUCUUUGGGAUAACUUCAGGAAACUGGGGCUAAUACCGGAUAUGAGCUCCUGCUGCAUGUUGGGGGUUGGAAAGUUUCGGCGGUUGGGGAUGGACUCGCGGCUUAUCAGCUUGUUGGUGGGGUAGUGGCUUACCAAGGCUUUGACGGGUAGCCGGCCUGAGAGGGUGACCGGCCACAUGGGGACUGAGAGACGGACCAGACUCCUACGGGAGGCAGCAGUGGGGAAUAUUGCAGAAUGGGCGGAAGUCUGAUGCAGCAACGCCGCGUGCGGGAUGACGGCCUUCGGGUUGUAAACAGAUUUCGACUGUGACGAAGAGUGAGUGACGGUAAUGGGUAAAGAAGCACCGGCUAACUACGUG